GGUAGCAUAAUCAUUUGUCUAUUAAUUGUAGACCUGUAUGAAAGGCAAAAUGAGAGCCCAACUGUCUCUUAUAACAAAUCAAUUAAACUGAUCUUCUAGUACAAAAGCUAGAAUACCAACAUAAGACCAGAAGACCCUGUGAAGCUUUAACUAACCUAUUAAACCCAAUAAUAACUACUUUAGGUUGGGGCGACCUUGGAAUAAAAAAGAACUUCCAAUCUAUGACUCCCUCAUAAGCUAAGGCAAACAAGCCAACACGACCCAGUACAGCUGACAAUUGAAACAAGUUACUCCAGGGAUAACAGCGCCAUCUUCUUUAAGAGCCCAUAUCAAAAAGAAGGUUUACGACCUCGAUGUUGGAUCAGGACACCCCAGCAAUGCAACCGUUACUAAAGGUUCGUUUGUUCAACGAUUAAUAGUCCUACGUGAUCUGAG
rnacentral:rRNA from 1 species